UUUGGGAAUUUUGGGGGGAUUCCGAGGAGGAUUUUGAGGGGGAUUUUGGGAAUUCAGAGGAGGAUUUCGUGGUGGAUUUUGGGAGGAUCUGGUGUGGAUUUUUGGGAAUUUCAGGGGGGAUUCUUGGAUGAUCUCGAGGUGGAUUUUUGGGAAUUCCGAGGAGGAUUUUGGUGGGGAUUUUGAGAAUUUCGAGGUGAUUUUGAAGGGCAUUUUGGGAGGAUUUUGGGAGGAUUUUGGGAGGAUUUCAAGGUGGAUUUUUGGGAAUUUCAGGGGGGAUUUUCGGAUGAUCUCGCGGUGGAUUUUUGGGAAUUCCGAGGAGGAUUUCGUGGCGGAUUUCGGGAGGAUUUCAAGGUGGAUUUUUGGGAAUUCCGAGGAGGAUUUCGUGGCGGAUUUUGGGAGGAUUUCAAGGCGGAUUUUUGGGAAUUUCGGGGGGGAUUUUGGGAGGAUCUGGUGCGGAUUUUUGGGAAUUUCGGGGUGGAUUUUGGGGGCGCUCAGCCCUCCCCCCCCGGGAACAA
rnacentral:lncRNA from 1 species